UUCAACAUUUUCACCAAAUAUUCUCUGACCUGAAUGGCAUUGCUGCCCAGGAGAGCUCCUUCAGAGAAUGAGUGUUUUGCUUUACAGUCAUGUAAAAACGAAGGACGUUACCAAUGCUUUGUUCAAAGACUUCCCUCAGGAGAGUGAGCAGUAUGUACCUGGUCUGCUGCGCUGGAAGGGUGUGUUAUCAGAGCAACAGGUGAAGGAAGUGCUGGAUGAGAUUCGGGAACCCUGCCAAAAUCCAGAUCCUACACAUGUCACCUGUUUUCUUCUGAAGGGACUUUUUUGUUGUAAAUAGCUUGAGGUCAGAGGGGAACAGACAUCUGAAUACAGUUCACAGCAGUCCGGAGUUCCUGAUCUCAUCGCUCUAGAUGUUGAAGCGAGUAACAAGA
rnacentral:lncRNA from 12 species